rnacentral:lncRNA from 1 species
UAGGCUUGUUUACAUAAAAAUGGGGUCAUCUGGAUCCCACAAGACAGUGCGCUGAACUUUUUUUUUUCAAUGAUUGUUGAUCUUUACUGGUGCUCAAUGACAGACAUGAAGUCUUGUCCACCUUUAUCAUGGAAGGGCUAACACCUCUAUGUAAGGGUGGGGUCAUCUGGACCCCAUAAGAGAGCAUGAGGGUUUAAUCAAUAAAAGUAUUGCGAUAUUUCAUUGAAUCAAUAUGUUCUUACACCCCUAAUAAAUGUAUUAGAAAAUAAUGUGACAAAUUCACCAUAUUCCCAGGCUGUAGGUAGACGGGUAGGCCAGUUUGGUCCAGGUGUCGGGGACAUUGUCAAAGAACAAGGCGGUCUGCAGCUUCUCCAUUUCAGAGGACAUGGCCAGUUCACCCUUCAGAGAUGUUAACAUGCUGCAUUACUACAAACUAUCAGUAAUGGAGGUGAAAUAUGUAGACCAGGGGUGUCCAACUCCAGGCCUCAAAGGCCGGCCUCCUGCUGGUUUUCCAGAAACCAUCUGCAGUUGAUUACUUGGAUCAGGUGUGUUCAGCCAAUAAGGAGCUUGAAUGGCAGGUUGGUAGGAAAACGUGUAGGAGACCGGCCCUCGACGUCUGGGGUUGGACAGUCAGACUGUCAUUGAGGUUUGGGCUCACCUUAAGGCCCAGGUCGAGCUCCUUGAGUGAGCGGCGAAUCUCACAGCUGCAGUGUGCUUGGUCGUCUCUAGUUUCUCAACCAGCAUGUUGUCCCCGAGGAAGUUACUCUCUGCCGCAGAUAGCCGGAUGAUCAUCUUUCUUCUUGCACUUGUGUGUUCUGCCAACCUGCCCUUCUUGAUGGUGUGGCGCCCCAGCAGAGGGUCUAUAACCGGAUCAAUCGUCUCCUCCAAGUUCUCGAUGAGGACGGGGUCGCCUGCCACUACGGCCUGUUCAAUGACGUCUACGUACCUGAAGACAAAACCAAGCAGAACAAAGGGUACUUUCAGGCAGUUUGCAGCAGCAAAGUUUGACAAACAACAACAAAACACACUUGUAUCACAGUUCUCCAGGCAUACUAAAAGCCUUGGAACUCACCCUUUUUGUCCAAGACUGACAACCUUUAGGCGGUUACCAUAGCGAUUCUUGAUCCACUUGAUGCCUUGAAGUUGGGGAUCAAUGAGCAGAGGCCAGCGUUCACCUGUAACAACCCAGAUCUACUAUUGUCACAAAGCAAAUGUUGAUCUUUAGAAGGAGACCGUCAACACUCACAGUUAAUGAGGAUGGUGGCGUUCUGAGUGGACAUUUUGUCUCCUGGUAAGCCUUCAUUGUUCCACUGGGCCACAGUGGCAUCGUCGGUCAGAAUUGACACCGGAUCCAAGUCUCCUGUCAUGGGAAUGGGGACCUAAAGAAAAACCGCAUAGAUGUCUCCUAACAGACAGUAACCACGAAAGCCAAAAAAUAACUUGCAGGAACCUUCUGAUUCCGCAGGAAUGGCAUCCACAUGUUGUCCAGCAGCUCAAUCCUGUACUUCUUGGAAAAGGAGCCGGCGUAAGAGAUGAAAGCUGCAGUUAGGAGGAGAUCACCGCAGAGAGUUUCUUCCUGUUCGUGGUACUGAGCCACUGAGUGGGCCCAGCGCACAUUUUCACUCUGAAACACAGAAAUACACUGAAAUAUACUGUUGUGCUGGGUGUUGGAAAUCAUCUCCAAUGUGUUUCUUCAACUACAUUUAAAGGAUAUCACACCAAUAAAAUUUAGUUAAAAAUGUAGUUUGUUUUGUGUUUUCAUACCUCCAGUCCCUUCACCAGUCGAUUGGCCAGUUCUAUUGUCUUGUUGGUGCGAUUGACUUCUUCCUGAAAGCGAAGCUUCUCCUCUGUGGCUUUCUCAAAGGCUGUCGUCAACACUUCCAGAUUACCAUCCAGUUCCUGAGAAGGAGAACGUUGUAUUUCAGCACACACUGCUUAAACUGGACCUAACAUCUGGAAACAUCUAAGAAACUAUUUUCUGACGGCCAACAGUGAAGCAAAGUAAUCAAAUACUAAAGUCAGUGUCUGCAGG